rnacentral:rRNA from 1 species
CCUACGGGUGGCAGCAGUGGGGACUAUUGCGCAAUGGGCGAAAGCCUGACGCAGCGACGCCGCGUGAGGGAUGAAGGUCUUCGGAUCGUAAACCUCUGUCAGCAGGGAAGAACGGUCACUGUGCUAAUCAGCAGUGAAUUGACGGUACCUGCAAAGGAAGCACCGGCUAACCCCGUGCCAGCAGCCGCGGUAAUACGGAGGGUGCGAGCGUUAGUCGGAAUUACUGGGCGUAAAGCGCACGUAGGCGGGAUGUCAAGUCAAGGGGGAAAUCCCCGCGCUAAACGUGGGAACUGCCUUUGAAACUGGCAAACUGGAGUGUGUUAGAGGAUAGUGGAAUUCCAGGUGUAGGAGUGAAAUCCGUAGAUAUCUGGAGGAACAUCAGUGGCGAAGGCGACUAUCUGGCACAUAACUGACGCUGAGGAGCGAAAGCGUGGGUAGCAAACAGGAUUAGAUACCCCUGUAGUC